rnacentral:misc_RNA from 1 species
GCAACAUUUCCCAUAGGCUUGGCUUUGAAAAACUUUCAAGCCAAGAGACUGCCUAAAAAUGCAUGACACAGGACACUUUUAAGUAGGCACCACAAACAAAUUAUUGUCACCUAAGAAUUAGAAAAGCACCAAAAGAGGUAGAUAUAGAUCUUGUCUCACGCAUUAAUUGCCAUUUUCCAGGCAAGUCAAUAAUAUAACAGAAAGGGUGCAAACUGCAAUCAAACAAAAAUAGAGUUGAUAUGGAUGCA